GCCUUCGUAGUGUAGUGGUCAGCACGCUCGACGCGUAUUCGAGAUGUCCAUGGUUCGAGUCCCGGCGAGGACA
rfam:Stegodyphus mimosarum contig73468, whole genome shotgun sequence.